AUAAACAGAAAUUUAAGGACUAGACAAGCAAAGAAAAGGGGAAAUAGGUGAUGGGAAAUAGUUACAGAAUUGAUAACUCAACACAAAAGGGGUUCGGGGGUUGGAACUGAUUGCAGAGAGCCCAUGUGCUUAGGAAUUAAUUAAUUCUGUGCAUGCACGGCAUCAGGGAAUGUCGUUAUGCUCAAAAAGCCAAUCAAAAUUUACAACAUACAAUGGUAAUGUGAGGUUAUGAUCCCAGGGGAAUCAAGUUUCAGUCAUAGACAGCAAUACUUUAAUAUUAUCAUGCCUCAAACAACCAUCAGUGUCAAAGACACUUAGGAUACAUAAUAGAGUCAGAACAGGCAGAAGGAGAAUGCUAAAAUAAGUACUGAACUAAACACAAGUAAUAAACAAAAGGGUGAAAGUAUUAAAUAAAUACAUUGUUGUGAGGCUGAAAAUUUAAUCAGAACAUACCAGUUCAGGAAGCGAAAAUACAGUAAAAGUAGGUAGCACAACUUGAAAACAUGCCACAGUACAAGUAACAAGAGAUAAUGCUUUUUGAGUGUGAGUGAGAGUUCAGAAAACUUAUAGUAUUGGUGUGUGUUAAUGAAAAGCCUGGUAUUCAUAGUUUGAAAGUAGGCAAAGAAUAAGGCAAGAAAAAAAAUAUGGAACUGUGUACCAAUCGGUAUAACAACUUCCUUUAAUUAUGGAGUUUAAACUUAAAUGGUAAUGGACAGAAAUCAUAUAAGGAAAGAGAUCAAGUAAGCAUCUUGUUCAAAAUAGGCAAUUAGAGGAAAAUACAUAGGGGUUUAAUUAAGGAAAGAAUCUUUGAAAUACACGGUUAACCAAAUAAGGUAAGAAACAUAAUAAAUCAAUAAUUACAUAUUAAAUCAAGGAGUCUGGGAUUUGAAAUUACUGCUUCCUGAAUUAACAAAUAAACCAAAUCAAAAGUAGAAGAAUGAAAGGAUAAGGAUAGUUUUCAAAUCAACCAAAGAAAUAGGAAAAUUAGUGAAACAAGGAAAGAAUCAAUCAAACUUACACCAUGAGGUCUAAAAUAAGUCCAAAAUUGAAAGUCAUUUUAGAGAGAAAUUCAUUCAUAUAAAAGAUACAUAAGUAUCGAGGAUAAAAGGCUGAAUUUAGGACAAAGGGAAUAGUCAUAUGACAAUCACAUGGGUCAAUUUCACCAGCUUAGUAAUAGAGAAAUGGGAGAGUAUCAAAAAAAUGCAAAGGGUCAAGUAGAAAGACCUUAUAGGGUUAGCAGGAAGUCGGAAUCAUAUAAGAAACAAAAGAUUUAGUCGAGCACAUCCAAACAAAUGAAGCAGUUUUCAGAAGUUCAAAUAGGUCCAAAGUUAUUAGGGUUUUGAAACUAAUCAGAUUAAAAGAAGAACAAGUAAAUAACAUGAUAAAAUAGAUCAGAACUUGAGUGAACCCCAAAUCUUAGGGUUUUUCCAUCAAUCGAGU
rnacentral:lncRNA from 1 species